UACAGAGGGUGCGAGCGUUAAUCGGAAUUACUGGGCGUAAAGCGCGCGCAGGCGGCUAUCCAAGUCAGUGGUGAAAGCCCGGAGCUCAACUCCGGAACUGCCAUUGAAACUGUUUAGCUUGAGGAUGAGAGAGGUGAGUGGAAUUCCCAGUGUAGAGGUGAAAUUCGUAGAUAUUGGGAAGAACACCGGUGGCGAAGGCGGCUCACUGGCUCAUUACUGACGCUCAGGCGCGAUAGCGUGGGGAUCAAACAGG
rnacentral:rRNA from 1 species